CACCUGCAGGGAAACAGCAGUUCACUUUCAUUACUAACAAUCCUUCAAACUGGAAGUACGUCUGCCUGACUUCAGCUCUUUCCCUUCGAUUACCUCAAGUUUGGAGAAAACAGAAAAAAGGAUGAAGAAACCAGAUGAAGAAAUGGAAACUAGAAGCAGAGAUGGACUUUGGCUGUGGAGUCUCUGCAGAAUGAUGGACUUCAGGUGGAUUGGAGAUGACCUUUGACCUUCCCCAGAGUGAUGGGCAGCUGCGGUCACUGUGACUGCCAGAGCAGGAAUGGCUUAAAGCAGCAGAAGAGAAAUCCUGACUGACCCACUGCCUUCGGUUCCGGUCCGGUUUCAGACGAUGCCGACGCCAUAAGCACACAGGGAGGUCUGGAGAAGAAGGGCAUUAUGGGGGAAAUGAACACCAACAGUUUGGGUUGUUUGGCCCCUCAGAGCAAAACAUGCAGAUUCAUUUUACAAAGAAAUAUUUUCACCAUAUUAUUCAUUCAUUUGUAACUAUUCUGGUUUCAAGCUAAUUGUUUUGCUUGCUAAGUAAAUAUUUAUUUUGCUCAUAGAAGUAAAGAUUCUGAAAGGAAUAUUAUCCCAAAGGGGAACAUUUACUCGAGUCGAGCAAAUCUCAAUCUCGUAAUCUGUUGAUGACAAUGACAAAUAAAUCUUAUCUUAUCUUAUUUAGCUCUGGAUAAAUAAAGUAUUUUUAAAUCAAAGAUCUGAAAAAAGUUCAUCAACUUUUCUGGGUCAUAAAUGUGUUUAAACUGGAAACGUGGCAGUCUGGACCCAUUCUGCAUGUUUGAAAGCCUCUGGGACCGGAAAACAGAUGAGCUCAGCAGAACCUCCAUCUGACCCACUGACGUCAUGUGAGACUGGCUCGGAACCGCCGGGCCGGGCCGGGCCGGGCCGGGUCCAGGAGGAGGAGGCUUAAUAACCUGACAGAAAAUCAUACUGAUAAAAAGCAGAAGCCGUUUUCCUCCGGGUCAGCCCGCAGAACAUUUCAGGUCCAGUUUCUGACCUUAAACAGAACCAGAACGUCGCAGCGGGUCAACCAGAACCAUCCCCUCCUUCAUUUCCGGUGGAGCCGCUAUCCGGCGAACCCGAACCCAACAGCUGAAGACGGGCUCGUUUUUCAGACUCAUGUUUUCACCAUGUUACUCAUUUAUGUCAACUUCAAACUUACAUUUUAGUUAGCAACCCAAAUCUUUAGCUUUAAGCUACAUAUUUAGCUCCAAAGCACAUUAGGCCAGCAAGCUAAAUAUUGUUAGCAAGCUAAAUAUUUAGCUUUAAAUAUUUUUCCCUGAGCUGGCUAAAUAUUAAACUUGUAGCUAAAUAUAUUUGCUAACAAGCUAAAUACUUAACUAGCAAGCCAAAUAUUUAGUUUGAACCUAAGUUUUUUUGCUUGAAAGCUAAACAUUUUACUCUCAUAUUUAGCUCAGAGUUAAAAAUUUAGUUUGUCAACAAAAUGUUUAGAUUGAAACUGUGAAAUUUAAUAUUUAUCAAAGGACGAUAACAUGGAGAAAGAAUGAAAGAAUGUGACAGGCUAAAUAAGUUUGCGGAAGUUAAUUUUCUCCUGCUGUACAGUCGG